rnacentral:lncRNA from 1 species
CUUUUUUUAUUAUUAUAGUUUAAGUUCUGGGGUACACGUGCAGAAUGUUCAGGUUUUUUACAUAGGUAUACACGUGCCAUGGUGGUUUGCUGCACCCAUCAACCCAUCAUCUACAUUAGGUAUUUAACCCAGUGCUAUCCCUCCCCUGUCCCCCCACCCCGUGACAGGCCCUGGUGUGUGAUGUUCCCCUCCCUGUGUCCAUGUGAUCUCAUUGUUCAACUACCACUUAUGAGUGAGAACAUGAGGUGUUUUGUUUUCUGUUCUUGUGUUAGUUUGCUGAGAAUGAUGGUUUACAGCUUCAUCCAUGUCCCUGCAAAGGACAUGAACUCAUCCUUUCUUACGGCUGCGUAGUAUUCCAUGGUGUAUAUGUGCCACAUACAUUUGUUUUACAGUCUGUGAAGAGAUUCAGUGAAUAUCACAUUUAAAGACCUGUAUUUACC